rnacentral:rRNA from 1 species
CAGCAGCCACGGUAAUACGGAGGGUGCAAGCGUUAAUCGGAAUUACUGGGCGUAAAGCGUGCGUAGGCGGUUUGUUAAGUCUGUUGUGAAAUCCCCGGGCUCAACCUGGGAAUGGCAAUGGAUACUGGCAAGCUAGAGUGUGUCAGAGGAUGGUGGAAUUCCCGGUGUAGCGGUGAAAUGCGUAGAGAUCGGGAGGAACAUCAGUGGCGAAGGCGGCCAUCUGGGACAACACUGACGCUGAGGCACGAAAGCGUGGGGAGCAAACAGGAUUAGAUACCCCAGUAGUCCCUGUCUCUUAUAC